AUCUACAGCCAUGCCAUCCUGAACAUGCCUGAUCUCGUCUGAUCUCGGAAGCUAAGCAAGGUGGCGGGGCCUGGUUAGUACUUGGAUGGGAGACCACUUAGGAAGACCAGGUGCUGUAGGUG
rnacentral:rRNA from 1 species